CCGCACAGCGGGAUACUAUUUUUUUUCCAGAAUCGUGAAUAAAAACAGCAGAGUUUUUCAACACCUUUCAUACAUCGAUUGCAUUUUGUAAUGUUGUAUAACAUUAAUUAAUUGCCUAGAAAUAAUUAAGAGAAGAAACAAGGAUAUAUAGACGGAAAAGUGCAUUUUCUGAACUAUAAAAUGAAUGAAUCGUGUGGAGAAAUAUAAACCCUGAAAGGACCUAUAGCCGCAAAGCAGGAUACUUUUUUUUCCAGAAUCGUGAAUAAAAACAGCAGAGUUUGUCAACGCCUUUCAUACACCUAUUGCAUUUUGUAAU